GAUGAACGCUAGCGGCAAGCUUAACACAUGCAAGUCGAGGGGUAGAGGUUGCUUGCAACCUUGAGACCGGCGCACGGGUGCGUAACGCGUAUGCAACCUACCUUUUACAGAGGGAUAGCCCAGAGAAAUUUGGAUUAAUACCUCAUAGUAUAUAACAUUCGCAUGUUUGUUAUAUUAAAGCUUCGGCGGUAGUGGAUGAGCGUGCGGUUGAUUAGAUAGUUGGCGGGGUAACGGCCCACCAAGUCUACGAUCAAUAGCUGAUGUGAGAGCAUGAUCAGCCACACGGGCACUGAGACACGGGCCCGACUCCUACGGGAGGCAGCAGUAAGGAAUAUUGGACAAUGGACGCAAGUCUGAUCCAGCCAUGCCGCGUGAAGGAUUAAGGUCCUCUGGAUUGUAAACUUCUUUAUAAGGGACGAAAAAAGGUCUUUCUAGAUCGUCUGACGGUACCUUAUGAAUAAGCACCGGCUAACUCCGUGCCAGCAGCCG
rnacentral:rRNA from 1 species